GAGCUCGUAUUAUGUGAG
rnacentral:misc_RNA from 1 species